rnacentral:rRNA from 1 species
UACGAAAGGGGCUAGCGUUGUUCGGAAUUACUGGGCGUAAAGCGCACGUCGGCGGCCUUGUAAGUUGGGGGUGAAAUCCCCGGGCUCAACCCGGGAACUGCCUUCAAGACUGCAAAGCUCGAGGAUGCGAGAGGUUAGCGGAAUUCCGAGUGUAGAGGUGAAAUUCGUAGAUAUUCGGAAGAACACCAGUGGCGAAGGCGGCUAACUGGCGCAUUUCUGACGCUGAGGUGCGAAAGCGUGGGGAGCAAACAGG